rnacentral:rRNA from 1 species
UACGUAGGGCGCAAGCGUUAUCCGGAAUUAUUGGGCGUAAAGAGCUCGUAGGCGGCUUGUCGCGUCGGCUGUGAAAACCUGGGGCUCAACCCCGGGCCUGCAGUCGAUACGGGCAGGCUAGAGUUCGGCAGGGGAGACUGGAAUUCCUGGUGUAGCGGUGAAAUGCGCAGAUAUCAGGAGGAACACCGGUGGCGAAGGCGGGUCUCUGGGCCGAUACUGACACUGAGGAGCGAAAGCGUGGGGAGCAAACAGG